CUCAACUAAACACAAACUCAACCACUCUCUCCUUCUUCUUCCCUACGAACGGCGCCUCUCUUCAAAGCAAACGGCCACCGUGGUUGUGGCCCUGGAAACUAGUCCUAAACCAAACUCAACACCUCAAUCUUCCCUCUAGACCAGAAACCCUAAGUUAAAACUCACUAAACCGACCCCUAAACAACGCGAAUAACCCUCGUCCCUUCAUCAACUUCUAUCUCCGACGAACUACUACGACAGGAACCAACGGCAAGGGUGCAAACAACUCACCACAAACUCGCCCAACUCCGGAUACAGUGGUUCACCUUCAGCGACACUCGAACAGACCAGUCUCUUUUGAAAUCAAAAACCAAUUCUUCCGGUUAUGGGCUCGAGCAAAGUGAUUAUGGACGAUGGUGGUGGCUUCGGUGAGUGACCGACAGGCACUGGAACAUGGGAUCUUCACGAGGUGCAUAGACAGCAUGGGUGGCCGUGCUGUUGAGUGAGUGUUGUUGGGCGUGAUGCUCCACGCCAAGGUUGGAAAUGGCACCAGAAUGGGCAACAAAGAAUGGUCUUCACGUGGGCAGCAUGUGCUACUAUUGUGGGUGAUCAAACCGGGUCGAAUCGGGCUCCAAUCGGGCAAACUUGGGCCUACUCUUGUAAUUAAUUUGGGUUUGUAAAGUGACCUUAAACACUUUAAUUUGAGU